rnacentral:rRNA from 1 species
GACGAACGCUGGCGGCGUGCCUAAUACAUGCAAGUAGGACGCAGUUGCGAACGGGGGAGUAACGCGUAGGUAACUGCCUCUUAGAGGGGGAUAACUAUUGGAAACGAUAGCUAAUACCGCAUACUAGUAGAUGGACCUGCGUUGUAUUAGCUAGUAGGUAGGGUAAUGGCCUACCUAGGCGACGCUACAUAGCCGACCUGGGAGGGUGAUCGGGCACACUGGGACUGAGACACGGCCCAGACCCCUACGGGAGGCAGCAGGAGGGAAUCUUCGGCAAUGGGGGGAACCCUUACCGGGCAACGCCGCGUGAGUGAAGAAGGGUUUCGGAUCGUAAAGCUCUGUUGUUAAGGAAGCGGUACUUAACCAGAAAGGGACGGCUAACUACGUGCCAGCAGCCGCGGUAAUAC